rnacentral:lncRNA from 1 species
CAAGCAUAAAUCAACCCAAUCUAAACCGAUUUCUUCUAUAAGCUCAGCACCCCAACACUAAGCGUAAUUGCCACAUAGUCGAGUAAAGCUUCAUUUCAUACAUGGUAUCCUGCACAAAAAACGAUAACAGGUCAAAAGUCAACACAAGUGUAUUACAAUAUAUACAACCUCCUAAGUUGGUUUAUUAGAAAUUAAGUUUUUUAUUAUAAAAUAUAGAUUUAGUAAUCAUAUUCACACUUAGUGAAAUUACAUAAUUAAAAAAAUGGACAAAAAAAGAGGUUUGAGAGUCGCUCGAAACUAACUGUUAAAAUUUAUAUGGGUACCGAAAGUAACAUGGGAAGAUCAGGUUGAAUUAGAGCCACAAAACUAACAAGGCCAUGUAGGAAAAUUCCUACAAAGAUAAUAAACAAUAUAAGCUAAUGUUACAUGUUAAAGGUUUUCGGUUGUAUCAUAUGGAAGGCAACGAUAGUUUAAAGACGAAGAAAAAAAAAGCUAACUCCACAAAAAAGAAAUAAACUUUAAGCUUUUUUUCCUGUAUUUAGGAACCAUCUUUAUUAGGUGUAAAAUACGAAUCAACUUACAUGUUAUUACUAACUUUAACAACCAACCUCAUUUACUUAGGUGUAAAACUAAUUGC